rnacentral:misc_RNA from 1 species
AAUUCUCAACUUCAUCACUUGUGUUGAAGCUUGGAUGUGGGGGUUGUGCAGAAUGCGUAACGGUGGUCUGCUCCCCUUAAAUGAAUUAGCGAGUUCAAACUGAGCUCUGUCUAUUGGUGUGAUAAUUAUCUACGCCGUGGAUUGGACUUAGACUUGCUUCUAAUCGUCCGCAAGGACAAUACUUUGACA